GAUGAAGAACAAGGGACUUCAUACUGAUUCAGUUGAUGUCACCUUCAUGGUAUUCUGA
rnacentral:snoRNA from 1 species